rnacentral:rRNA from 1 species
UACGAAGGUCCCAAGCGUUGUUCGGAAUCACUGGGCGUAAAGGGAGCGUAGGCGGCGUGGUAAGUCAGAUGUGAAAUCCCGGGGCUCAACCCCGGAACUGCAUCCGAUACUGCCAUGCUAGAGGAUUGGAGAGGUAGCUGGAAUUCUUGGUGUAGCAGUGAAAUGCGUAGAGAUCAAGAGGAACACUCGUGGCGAAAGCGACUUACUGGACUGUAACUGACGCUGAGGCAUGAAAGCGUGGGGAGCAAACAGG